AUGCGGGAUGCCGAUGAUGAGCCACCAAGGAACGCUCCAGUGCGGCCUUGUGAAUGGCCUUCAGAAGACUUUAUGGAUCGAGCGGGAAUCAAGGAAGAAUUUAACGCAUAUUUGCGUAACGCUGAUCUUGUGAGCUUUGAGGAGGAAAAGUGCCGCCAGUACCACUAUCUCACUAGUUCCUUUGUGAGGAGGUUUGAAUUGUCAUCUUCACGCAAUUCUCAAACUGUCCUGUUUGAUCUUUAUGAAAAAUCUUAUACUAUGGACUUAGAGGAUUUUACCAAUGCUUGCAAACUUCCACAAUGGGGUAGUACUAGUUAA
rnacentral:rRNA from 1 species